rnacentral:rRNA from 1 species
UACGGGGGGGGUAAGCGUUGUUCGGAAUUACUGGGCGUAGAGGGCUCGUAGGCGGCCAACUAAGUCAGACGUGAAAUCCCUCAGCUUAACUGGGGAACUGCGUCUGAUACUGGAUGGCUUGGAUUUGGGAGAGGGAUGCGGAAUUCCAGGUGUAGCGGUGAAAUGCGUAGAUAUCUGGAGGAACACCGGUGGCGAAGGCGGCAUCCUGGACCAUUACUGACACUGAAAAGCGAAAGCCAGGGGAGCAAACGGG